CCUACGGGGUGCAGCAGUGAGGAAUAUUGGUCAAUGGGCGUAAGCCUGAACCAGCCAAGUCGCGUGAGGGAUGAAGGUUCUAUGGAUCGUAAACCUCUUUUAUAAGGGAAUAAAGUGUGGGACGUGUCCUGUUUUGUAUGUACCUUAUGAAUAAGGAUCGGCUAACUCCGUGCCAGCAGCCGCGGUAAUACGGAGGAUCCGAGCGUUAUCCGGAUUUAUUGGGUUUAAAGGGUGCGUAGGCGGCCUUUUAAGUCAGCGGUGAAAGUCUGUGGCUCAACCAUAGAAUUGCCGUUGAAACUGGGAGGCUUGAGUAUGUUUGAGGCAGGCGGAAUGCGUGGUGUAGAGGUGAAAUGCUUAGAUAUCACGCAGAACCCCGAUUGCGAAGGCAGCCUGCCAAGCCAUGACUGACGCUGAUGCACGAAAGCGUGGGGAUCAAACAGGAUUAGAUACCCGGGUAGUC
rnacentral:rRNA from 1 species